rnacentral:rRNA from 1 species
AUUGAACGCUGGCGGCAGGCCUAACACAUGCAAGUCGAGCGAGCGGCGGACGGGUGAGUAAUGUCUGGGAAACUGCCUGAUGGAGGGGGAUAACUACUGGAAACGGUAGCUAAUACCGCAUACCAUCGGAUGAGCCCAGAUGGGAUUAGCUAGUAGGUGGGGUAAUGGCUCACCUAGGCGCCGCUCUCUAGCUUGUCUGAGAGGAUGACCAGCCACACUGGAAAUGAGACACGGCCCAGACUCCUACGGUAGGCAGCAGUGGUGAAUAUUGCACAAUGGGCGCAGGCCUGAUGCAGCCAUGCCGCGUGUAUGAAGAAGGCCUUCGGGUUGUAAAGUACUUUCAGCGGGGAGGCGUUACUCGCAGAAGAAGCACCGGCUAACUCCGUGCCAGCAGCCGCGGUAAUAC